UUAAGAUUACAAUAUAGAAAUUAAGUUCUCCACCACUUUGAGUGAAUUCUCUCUCUCCUCGUAUUGCAAUCUAUAAGCAAUUCCAUCUCACUUUGUUUAACAGAAACGACGUUCAAAAUAUCCCCAUCGUGGAUGCUCGGAAAAAUAAUCCCAAACGAGCCUUUGGGCGACUUCCUCUAAAUCAUGAUGGCGUAGCGUCAAGUUAGCAGCGACUAGGUUUCGUAAUAUUGUUGGUAAUAAUCUUGUUGUUUUCACUCCGCUUGCACAAUCAACUUAGCAAUUUUCUCAGGAUCAACCAUACUAGAAUUAAGAACGCAAAUGAGGAAAUAGAGUUUUUUAUGUAAAAAAAUAAGUGAUUAAUGAGGUAAUUGUAGGUGAUAUUGGGAUGAAAACGGUAGCAAUUGCGAAAAUGGAAAACUAUAUAUAUAUAUUUUAAAUUUUUUGAAUUUUUGCUGAAAUUUUUAAAAAUAUACUCUCACUCACUGGCCGGUGAGUGAGCGCCACGUGAGCGGGACACCCGAUGAGACAAGCCAUCCACAACGGUGACUCGACACCAUCACGUACCGGCAAAACGAGCCAACACCACUUUUGACCAACUGUUAUGAACACUUUUAGGGUAUGUUUGAAUUGACAUUUAUCAAUACUUAAGAAAAAGAGUGUCAUUUAACAACCCACUGUUUCUGGGCAUGGACAAUUCAUAUAUUGUGUUUGGAUUAGUUGUAUAUUAUCUGCCAUUAAGAAUUUCUAGUGUUUGGUUUGUAUUUUUCAUCAACCUAAUGUUACAAAGUUCCAUUAAUACCCUUUCUAACUUUGUUUAUUCUCAAUUUUGUCCUAACAAAACCCUAGCGAUAUAAGUUCUCCUUCCGUAAAAGUUACGUCCAGCGACGUGAAUACUAGCAGUGGCGAAUCUUCUAUCACAAUCGAGGAUCAGUCAGUACUAUGUCGACAUCUUCAAAGCGGUUGAAGUUCAGCUUGGAUGACACUAAGAACAAGCAUAUGAUCAACCAGCACUGAGGACGGGAACGGAAGAACAAGACACACUGUACUAGGAGGAGUUGGUCUGACCGUGAGGAGCAGAUUUUGUAGUAACUCUAAAAGAUCUUGUGGUCUGCAGGUGGAAGUCGGACAACGGCUUUCGUACUGGAUAUCUUGGGAAGAUUGAAGAUGCCUUGAAAGCUCAAUUUUCUUUAACCGACAUAAAGGGCACAACCCUCAUUUCGUUUCUAAAAUGGCUGCAAUGAGUGGAAUAAGCUCUAACUCGAAAGGUGAUUACAAAAUCAAGUGUGACGACGAGCAGUGGGAUCACAUUGUCAAGAAUGAUCCGAUGGAAUUACUACCCUCUGUGACAAUUUAUGGCGGAGUUUUGAGGCAUUACGGAUUAAUGGAGAACAAAUGGAAUCACUACCCUCUGUGAAUGCUAGCGGAAGCUCAAAGCGUUUGGGGGCCAUGUUUUCUUCGUCAAGUGGAACGGUGGUAUCAGAAAUGACUAGGACUCCAAACGUCUCCUCCUUCUUCACUGACUGUGGAUCGAACAACUGCGUCAAUGGACGGAACUCUGAAUCGCAGAAAUAGUAGAGUUUCUUCCAACCGGGGCCAAUCGUGUUGACAAUGUUUGUGUUUGCAUUCCACUGAACGCCUUUUGUGUCGAGCACCAUACUGAAGGUCUGCUACCGUUGCUUGAAAGACUGAAAUCUUUCAUACAAAUCACGCCAAGUGAAUGGUACACCAACUUCCGACGAUAGAACCCUUGCUACUUCCUCCAAAAUAUCGACAGGUAUCACUAUUCCAACCCAUUUAGACCUCUUUUUUGGAGUCGCCUGUGAUGGAAAGCAUGAGCGGUCCACCUCGGCGCUCAAGUUUGAUUUAUAGAAGAAGGCCUCUUGACCCGGAAUGUUGCUAGUCAUGGCAGUAGUGAAUGCAAUGCUCACUCAGUUGAUGCAUGGUUCAUGUAUGUAGGCACUCUACUUUCGUUCAUCUUUGCUCUAGCAAU